AUCACCUGGGAGCUUGUUAAAAUGCAGAUUCCCGUUCAGUGAGGCUGGGUGGACUCCAGAUUCUGCAUUUUUAACAAGCUCCCAGGAGAAGCCAG
rnacentral:pre_miRNA from 1 species